GAACUGCCCAGAAAUGGGGGACAAGGAGGCCAGAGAGUACAGCACCCUUGGGAAGCAAAGAAGAGCAAAGCAAGGUCCGCGAGUGGGUCCAAGGGCAAAAGCAAGUGGCCUGCAUGUCUGUGCAUCUUUGAGGUUCCUGGAAGGCUGAGUGCGGAACUUCCUGAGGCAAAACUCCUGUGGACCCACCAGGAAGCUGGUCUUGAAAGAUGCUGCACCCACCGGACGACUCGUCCACUCACUAGAGACUCACUUUGCCGGAGAAGGGCUCGGGCGUCGUUGGAAGAACCCAAAGCCAGGCAUGAAAGGACCUCAGCCAGGGAGGGCACCGCAUUCACACAAAUGCUGCGUGUUCCCAUGGAAACAGCACAAAACCUGACCGAGGAAAUGAAUGCCGAAUUGGACUGAUUCCCUGUGAAUAAAGGGGAGAAAUGCAAAGCAAUGUAAACAAAGCCAAAAGCAGGAGCAACUCCAGGGCAAACGGAGGCAGAGUCCUCGCGUAUCUGUGAUCAGCACCGGCCCAUCCUGGGUGCAAGAGAGCCCGCUGCCAACUCACCCCCGUCACAGCAGCUGCCUCAGCCUCCCCAGCCAGCUGUCCCUAGCCCUGGCCCUCACCACCCCUGCCAGCCCAUGCCAUCCUCAGUUUCGGGGCUCACUGCGGCUGCCUCUGGGCUUGAGGGAAGGGCAGUGGUGGGCGGGAGAGGCGGGAGGCUCUUCUAUGGUGCCCGUGGAGUUGUUUCCUGUGUGGGGUGCAGGCUGCCCAGCUGUGUUCACUGUGAAAAUC
ensembl:lincRNA